CUUUGAUGUAAAUAAUUUACUUACUUUUCUUGUCAUUUAUUUUCUGCAGACCUUAGAAUGUAAAUAGGAUUUUUUGUAAUAGUUUAGGUGCAUGGGUGUGUGUGUGUGUGGGUGUAUGCUUUAUUUUAUGCUUCUAGCUUAGGUUACAAACGUUUUUAAUUUCCUUGCUCCGUUAGUUUCCAUUUUUAGUUUAGCUUUUAUUCAAAAACAACAAAAAAAACAUGCAAAUAACAAAAAUCACAAAAAAACUUUUUUACAAUAAACCUUGAUCUUAAAUCAAGUGACCGUCUUUUAUUUUAUUUUCUUAAAUCAAAAUUGCAAUCAACUUUAAUCAUACUUUAAGUCAUUUUCUUUUAAUAUAAAAAACACAAACAAAUUUAUUUUGCCAUUUGGCUUUUCAAUUUAAAAACUUUUUUCAAAACUAAUAAAAAACACAAAAACAAAUCAAACAUCAAUUUCUACCCCGAGGUUUUGAUCCCUCACGGGUACGUAGGUACGGGACAUUCGUCCUUCCAAACAAUAAAAAAUGUAGAUAAAUUAGGUCUCACUUUCUUUUAAUCGUCACAUUAACUUCUUUUUUCAAAAGCAAGCAAGUUUAUAGCACGAAAAUUAAAUAAAAACCAAGAGGUUCCCGUAGAGUACUACGGACAUAAAGGGUGUUAACACCUUCCCCUUCCCUUUAUGUAACUAACCCCCGAAUCCUAAAUCUUUUCAAAUAGGGGUAGUUUGAACUUUUUUCCCCUUUUCUUAAACAAAUAAAAAUGUUCAGUUGUGAAAUAAUAAAGUUGAGUCAAAAGCUAAUCAAAUAGCCUUCUCCGAAAAAUGAUGCGACAGAAAUGGCGACUUCACUGGGGACCUCCCUAAGAGGGUUGAGCCUAACUUGGCUUUGUUUAAUUCUUUGUGCUAUAACUUGCUUAAAAUAAACAAAAACAAAAAUAAAAGAUGGAAAUACGUGUAUAUAUGUCCUCCCUCUACUUUCUUCUUUCUAAACGUGAGUGGUGAGAUAAGUCCUACACCCGGGCUUGAGAGAAAUAUAAGAUAGGACGGGGUACAACCAUAGUGCCAUACCAGGAGCGGUCCUGUGCUAUGUGUGCAUGUGGUAUAAUCCCACUCAACGGAGGUCUCAAAGUAAUACGAUGUGACCAUGAGCAGUCGUGAUUGACGCUAUUAUUUUUGAAUGACCAUCGAAGUUGAGAAACCUUAGUAACCCUUAACCCAUCUUGGCCUUUUUAGGACGUAGUGCGGUGGCUAAACCAAGAGCAUUCUUGACUUUGGUCGACACGCGAUAUUACACUCAAAC
rnacentral:lncRNA from 1 species